rnacentral:hammerhead_ribozyme from 1 species
AUUUAGCUGAUGAGUUGCAAAUAGGACAAAACCGGAGUCCAAAAU